GAUGAACGCUGGCGGCGUGCCUAAUACAUGCAAGUCGAGCGAACGGACGAGAAGCUUGCUUUUCUGAUGUUAGCGGCGGACGGGUGAGUAACACGUGGAUAACCUACCUAUAAGACUGGGAUAACUUCGGGAAACCGGAGCUAAUACCGGAUAAUAUUUUGAACCGCAUGCUUCAAAAGUGAAAGACGGUCUUGCUGUCACUUAUAGAUGGAUCCGCGCUGCAUUAGCUAGUUGGUAAGGUAACGGCUUACCAAGGCAACGAUGCAUAGCCGACCUGAGAGGGUGAUCGGCCACACUGGAACUGAGACACGGUCCAGACUCCUACGGGAGGCAGCAGUAGGGAAUCUUCCGCAAUGGGCGAAAGCCUGACGGAGCAACGCCGCGUGAGUGAUGAAGGUCUUCGGAUCGUAAAACUCUGUUAUUAGGGAAGAACAUAUGUGUAAGUAACUGUGCACAUCUUGACGGUACCUAAUCAGAAAGCCACGGCUAACUACGUG
rnacentral:rRNA from 1 species